CCUACGGGUGGCAGCAGUGAGGAAUAUUGGUCAAUGGGCGGAAGCCUGAACCAGCCAAGUAGCGUGCAGGAUGACGGCCCUACGGGUUGUAAACUGCUUUUAUACGGGAAUAACGCGCGUCACGUGUAGGGCUUUGCAUGUACCGUAUGAAUAAGGACCGGCUAAUUCCGUGCCAGCAGCCGCGGUAAUACGGAAGGUCCGGGCGUUAUCCGGAUUUAUUGGGUUUAAAGGGAGCGUAGGCGGCAUGUUAAGUGUGCUGUGAAAGGUCCGGGCUCAACCCGAGCCUUGCAGCUGGAACUGGCAGGCUUGAGUCCGCGGAAGGCAGGCGGAAUUCGUCGUGUAGCGGUGAAAUGCUUAGAUAUGACGAAGAACCCCGAUUGCGAAGGCAGCUUGCUGCAGCGUAACUGACGCUGAUGCUCGAAAGCGCGGGUAUCGAACAGGAUUAGAUACCCGGGUAGUC
rnacentral:rRNA from 1 species